GUCUCUGUAAAGCAAUGGAUAGCGCGUUGGAGUUAAUCCAAAGGUCGUGGGUUCGAAUUCCACCUGGGAUA